rnacentral:lncRNA from 1 species
AGUAUAUAGUAGCUCCGCCACUAAACACUAAUAGCUAGAAUAUGUACAAUUUUUCUUGCUAAAAUUCCAUAGUGGUGAAAACCGUUAUUACAUUCUCUACUAAUUAUAACAGCAACCUACUAGCUACGUACGACUCCUAAACUACGACGUACUAACUACACCAACCGAGAAAGCAGUGGUUUCUGCAUUCCUCCGCCGUCUACAACCGUCCCACAACCUAACGACGCUGCCGUCAAUAACCCUCAUGUCCUGGUAAGAGUACCACUCCAUUUCUCCUUUCCUCAUUUUCACCGCACUCUCCCAAUUCUCAAACAGCUCCUUACUCAACUCUACGCCGCCGUCUUCUCCUUCCUCAUUACCGUUACCGUCAUAUUCUCCACCGGCAAUAUCUUGCUUAAAAUACACCGUUAGUUUCCUUUUUUUUCCUUCUUCUUUGGUCAAAGCAACAACAUGAAACAUAAUAGUAGUAGCUGUUGAUAUUGUUGCCUGCUGAUCAGUUGACUCCCUUUCUACCUGUGAUGACGGUGAAGACAUAGACGACGUUACCAAAGUUGGCGUCGGCGGGGGUGGAGAUGGGGCAUGGCCGGAAAAGUCUGCACGUGGCUCCGGUGCAGGUAACGUCGAACAUGUUUUGAUUCUCCAGAAGCUAAUGGCGGCCGUGAGAACCGCGACCCAUGUCCAGACAUUGUUGACGAUAGUAAUGAAACCGAAGCUCAAGUAACUGAAAGCAAGAGCUUCAAGCGGAGAUUCCAAUGCAUUCAUGUCUUGAUCAAUUUUCUUUGAAACUUUUCCUGAUCAGUUUUCCUUUUCCUUUUCUCUUAGGUAAGUGGAGUACUUUAAUGUAGGGAAUAUAUGGGAGUGGGGUGACAAAUGUGAGCCGUCGGAUACAAGAGGAAGAAGGAAAUCAGAGAAGCAUAUGAGAUUAGAUGCUAGGAAUCGUGAGCGAAGAUGCCAAGGCAGAUCCAAAUUCCAAUUACAUGGUACCAUAUUAUAUAUUCCACGUCUCCCAAUAUAACAUUCAUUCACUAUAAAAUUCAAAUUAUUUAUAGAAUCAAUUUUCAUGCUACGUUAUAAUAUACAUUUUCUAAGAUUAAUUUUACUGGUCAUCCAACUUAUCAUUUAUUUCACAAAAGUCACUUAUCUAUUUUUCAUCACUUAAAAGUCACUCAACUUUGCCUUUGUAACUUAAAAAUCAUUCGAGUUCAAAUCCUAUAAAAUAUCCUAUAAAAAUAUGACAUGACAUUAAAUUUAAUUAAAAAAUAUAAUUAUAGUGCCACGUAAGCUUAGAUGGACCAUACCCAAUUUAGACCCAUUUCAUCCACAAUUUGAUUUGACCCAUAACCUAAAUGGGUUUUAAUAUUUUGAACAUUAGAAGAAAAAGAAGAGAACAAUUAUUUUGUGCUAAAAAUAUCUUAUUUUAUUUGUUACGUAAUAACCUUAAUGCCACCACCUAUAAUUUCAUUAAAAAUAUGAACAGAACUAGCACAUAACCAGUUUUUGCAUCCUUCAUAUCAUUUUAUAAUUUUUUAUGAAGUUAAAAUACUACCAUAUCGAUCUUACAUAACAUAUAAAUGUAUCAAUAACAGACAAGAACAACAAGCUAAUAAGAACCUAUUUUCACAAAUUACUAUUCCAUUAAAGUCAAAAUAUUGCUUAUUAAGCAAUACUAACAGACAAAAAUAUUGCUCAGUAAGAAACACCCACAAUGAAAUUGCAUAGUAGAAGUUGUCAAUACACACCACAAUCGUAGACAACCUAUAGCGAUAGUUUGGACAAAAGAAAGAGAACGUAUUGUGUCAUUGACCGUAAAUGUACAACCAAAACUUAAAGAUAAAUUCAAAAGACCUAAUUUUUCUUAAAUUUCUUAGACUUCUUUUUCUUCAAAUUAACCACAAAAUCAAAGUGCUAGUCCAGUUAAUUGUUCAAAUAUUAAUAACCCAUUUUGGUUACAGGUCAAAUCGGGAAGAAAUUGGUCUAACUUAGAUAUGGUCUAUUUAAGUUUAUGUGGCAUUAUUGUUAGAUUUUUUAAUUAAAUAUAAUGUUGUGUCAUAUUUUUUAUUGGAUAUUGUAUAGGUCCAUGCCAUGUCUAAUGUUCAAAAUAUUAAAACCCGUUUGGGUUAUGGGUCAAAUCAAAUUGUGGAUGAAAUGAGUCUAAAUUGGGUAUGGUCCAUUUAAGCUUAUG